GUCCCCACGGAAACGGUAACGCACUGUAGUGCACCCAGGAGGCGGCCUGGACCUGCAGAGGCCAUCAGCACCGCAGCUCCGCGCCCACAGACUGCUCUGCACUUCUUUAACAGCAUUUAUGCAAAUGUUGAAUUUGAUGACAGUUGUAUGAGCGCAAUAUUC